ACUUGAUUUGACGCCGAAAAACUAAAUGGUUUAUUGCACCUACAGGCGGUCCCUAGGGUCCCUGAAUUUUUUUUCCGGGAACUAAAACGCGCUUAUGGUACCUAUAAAUGACCCAAAUAAAUCCAAAAAUCAGUCUCAGGGCCUACUCGGCCAAUUUCGAAAAUCUGACACAGCGGUGGCGGUCCGUUUCAAGUUGGCCAUUUUUGACCGAAUUCGGUCGAUUUUACAU
rnacentral:lncRNA from 1 species